rnacentral:rRNA from 1 species
UACGUAGGGGGCUAGCGUUGUCCGGAUUUAUUGGGCGUAAAGAGCGUGUAGGCGGCCAGAUAGGUCUGCUGUGAAAACUCGAGGCUCAACCUCGAGAUGUCGGCGGAAACCAUUUGGCUAGAGUCCGGAAGAGGAAAGUGGAAUUCCUGGUGUAGCGGUGAAAUGCGCAGAUAUCAGGAAGAACACCCGUGGCGAAGGCGACUCUCUGGUCUGUAACUGACGCUGAGGCGCGAAAGCGUGGGGAGCAAACAGG